rnacentral:rRNA from 1 species
AUUGAACGCUGGCGGAAUGCUUUACACAUGCAAGUCGAACGGCAGCACGGACUUCGGUCUGGUGGCGAGUGGCGAACGGGUGAGUAAUGUAUCGGAACGUGCCCAGUCGUGGGGGAUAACGUAGUGAAAAUUACGCUAACACCGCAUACGAUCUAUGGAUGAAAGCGGGGGAUCGCAAGACCUCGCGCGAUCGGAGCGGCCGAUAUCAGAUUAGGUAGUUGGUGGGGUAAAGGCCCACCAAGCCAACGAUCUGUAGCUGGUCUGAGAGGACGACCAGCCACACUGGAACUGAGACACGGUCCAGACUCCUACGGGAGGCAGCAGUGGGGAAUUUUGGACAAUGGGCGAAAGCCUGAUCCAGCCAUUCCGCGUGCAGGAUGAAGGCCCUCGGGUUGUAAACUGCUUUUGUACAGAACGAAAAGGUUUCUACUAAUACUAGGAGCUCAUGACGGUACUGUAAGAAUAAGCACCGGCUAACUACGUGCCAGCCGCCGCGGUAA